GGUAGUGUGGCAUAAUGGUCUGAGUGUUCAAUUGUGAUUCUGGAGACCUGUGUUCAAUUCCCGGCCUAACCA